rnacentral:rRNA from 1 species
GGGCCCGCACAAGUGGUGGAGCAUGUGGUUUAAUUCGAUGCAACGCGAAGAACCUUACCAACCCUUGAAAUCUAGCGAAGUUCACAGAGAUGAGAAUGUGCCUUCGGGAACGCUAUGACAGGUGUUGCAUGGCUGUCGUCAGCUCGUGUCGUGAGAUGUAUGGUUAAGUCCAGUAACGAGCGCAACCCCUAUCCUUAUUUGCCAGCGCGUUAAGGCGGGAACUAUAGGGAGACUGCCGGGUGAAACCCGGAGGAAGGCGGGGACGAGGUCAAGUCAUCAUGGCCCUUAUGGGUUGGGCUACACACGUGCUACAAUGGGAAGUACAGAGGGAUGCGAAAGCGCGAGCUGGAGCCAAACCCUUAAAACUUUUCUUAGUCCGGAUUGGAGUCUGCAACUCGACUCCAUGAAGUCGGAAUCACUAGUAAUCGCGAAU